rnacentral:lncRNA from 1 species
UACAUGAAAGUAUUUUUUCAAAUGUAUAAUUUAUCAACUGGUUUUAUAAUUAGUUUAUUUUCAAACGAUUUCCAUAUUUAGACUUGAUAAAAACCACUCCUGUUUCACAUAUAUUUAUAUAUAAUUUUAAGGGAACAAGAGUUGGUCUAAAUAUCAUUAGUUGUAUAUUCUGACAAUUUGGAAUUUAUUGUUUGAUGGGUUUGUAACUAUUGGAGCAUGAAAAUCGCCCUCGAAUAAUUUUCGUUUAAUUGGAGGUGGCUCUGACAACAAUUAAAUAAAAACUGACACGUUGACCUUGAAAAUGAUAUAUUGACCAAGGUUGGAAGUGGAACAAUCCCAAGCACAGAAGAGAUUUUGGUUUGCUGUGUGUGUGUGUGUGUUUGUGCAUUAUCCAUGGCACCGCCGAGGAAAAUUGGUUCUAAGGAGAUGCUUAGAUGUUUGCAGGUAUUCGAACACUAAAAUAUGCAAAUAAAACAGUAGGGGUUCAAAUAUCACGAACUUCUCAUCAAUAUAUAUCCUCCCAAAGUGUAAAUAAGCUCUCUUCGAAAAGCGUUAACUCUGUCCGAGUGGUCCCCAGGGGAUUACUGCUGACUUAGCUGACCUGGCACACUCUCUCUGUCGUCCUCGAUCCUUGACCAAAAUCAAAAUUGAUGCGGAUGUACUGCUGGCACUCCCUUAAAAUAAUACUUUAUUACGAAAUUAGUAUAAAAUCUCCAUUGCGUCUUUCACUCUCUUGAACAAUAUUUUGAGAAAAUACAAAUAUUUUAAAAAAGAAAACCAAUUGAAGUAAUAAUUGUGAACAACGUAGUGGUAUUGUUAUGACAUGUCAG